AGGAGUACAGUAGGCAAAUCCGCUGUACAAUCCGAAGACGUGAUGCGGACCGAAUUAAGAGUAGGGAAGUGUGUGAGCCAUGCGUCAAGAAAAGCCGCUAUUGUUUUACUUAAGCCCGUACCGUAACCGACACAGGUGGAUGAGGAGAGAAUCCUAGGCCGACGGGAGAAGCAUUGUUAAGGAACUCGGCAAAAUGACUCCGUAACUUCGGGAGAAGGAGUGCCAGCGAGAGCUGGCCGCAGAGAAUUGGCCCAAGCAACUGUUUAGCAAAAACACAGGUCUAUGCAAAACCGUAAGGUGAAGUAUAUGGGCUGACGCCUGCCCGGUGCUGGAAGGUUAAGAGGAGAGGUUAGCGGCAACGCGAAGCUUUGAAUUUAAGCCCCAGUAAACGGCGGCCGUAACUAUAACGGUCCUAAGGUAGCGAAAUUCCUUGUCGGGUAAGUUCCGACCCGCACGAAAGGCGUAAUGAUUUGGGCACUGUCUCAACAAUGCACCCGGUGAAAUUGAAAUACCAGUGAAGAUGCUGGUUACCUGCGCCAGGACGGAAAGACCCCAUGGAGCUUUACUCCAGCUUGAUACUGGGAUUCGGUAUUGCAUGUACAGGAUAGGUGGGAGGCUAGGAAGUGAUAACGCCAGUUGUCACGGAGCCGCUGUUGGGAUACCACCCUUGCAGUAUUGGAUUUCUAACCAGCGACCAUGAACUGGUCGGGGGACAAUGUCAGGUGGGGAGUUUGACUGGGGCGGUCGCCUCCGAAAGGGUAUCGGAGGCGCUCAAAGGUUCCCUCAGAAUGGACGGAAACCAUUCGAAGAGUGCAAAGGCAGAAGGGAGCUUGACUGCGACACCGACGGGUGGAGCAGGUACGAAAGUAGGACUUAGUGAUCCGGUGGUAUAAAGUGGGAUUGCCAUCGCUCAACGGAUAAAAGCUACCCUGGGAUAACAGGCUUAUCACUCCCAAGAGUUCACAUCGACGGAGUGGUUUGGCACCUCGAUGUCGGCUCAUCGCAUCCUGGGGCUGAAGUAGGUCCCAAGGGUUGGGCUGUUCGCCCAUUAAAGCGGUACGCGAGCUGGGUUCAGAACGUCGUGAGACAGUUCGGUCCCUAUCCGGCGUGGGCGUAGGAUAUUUGAGAGGAGCUGUCCUUAGUACGAGAGGACCGGGAUGGACUGGCCGCUGGUGUAUCUGUUGCAUACCAAAUGCAUGGCAGAGUAGCCAAGCCGGGACGGGAUAAACGCUGAAGGCAUCUAAGCGUGAAGCCCCCCUCAAGAUGAGAUAUCCCUACGUAAGUAGUAAGACCCCUUGAAGACGACGAGGUAGAUAGGUCAGAGGUGGAAGUACAGUAAUGUAUGGAGCUGACUGAUACUAAUCGGUCGAGGGCAUGACC
rnacentral:rRNA from 1 species